rnacentral:rRNA from 1 species
UCGCUACUACCGAUUGAAUGGCUUAGUGAGCUUCCUGGAGUGUUGCGCGUUGUGGGCAACCACUGCGCGCUUACGCGAAGGGAAUCAAACUUGAUCAUUUAGAGGAAGUAA